rnacentral:rRNA from 1 species
GUGAACGCUGGCGGUAGGCCUAACACAUGCAAGUCGAACGGCAGCUCAGUAAGAGCUUGCUCUUACGGGUGGCGAGUGGCGGACGGGUGAGGAAUACAUCGGAAUCUACUUUUUCGUGGGGGAUAACGUAGGGAAACUUACGCUAAUACCGCAUACGACCUACGGGUGAAAGCAGGGGAUCUUCGGACCUUGCGCGAUUGAAUGAGCCGAUGUCGGAUUAGCUAGUUGGCGGGGUAAAGGCCCACCAAGGCGACGAUCCGUAGCUGGUCUGAGAGGAUGAUCAGCCACACUGGAACUGAGACACGGUCCAGACUCCUACGGGAGGCAGCAGUGGGGAAUAUUGGACAAUGGGCGCAAGCCUGAUCCAGCCAUACCGCGUGGGUGAAGAAGGCCUUCGGGUUGUAAAGCCCUUUUGUUGGGAAAGAAAAGCAGCAGGUUAAUACCCCGCUGUUCUGACGGUACCCAAAGAAUAAGCACCGGCUAACUUCGUG